ACAACUGGGCCUCCGGAACGAGUUGCCAUUUACCUACAGGACAGCGAGGCGCUCACCAGGACUGCCUCGUGAAGGCCCCUCCUGCUCCUGGCAGCCCUGGGAAUGGGAAGCCUGGUAAAGGCAGAGGCUGGAAUGUCUAAUCCGGUGUCAGACUGAGGAGGGGCCUCCAAGACUCCAGGGUCCCUUCCCUCCCCCUGCCUCCAGCCAACACUCGCCACCCCUGAUUGGGAUGGCAGCUCGGCGGCCCUUCAGCCUCUAUUGGAAUAUUCUCCAAGGACUCACCACCCACAGGCACCCCCUCCUUCUAUCACUAUGCUGUGGCUUCUGAUGAAACACUAGGUCUGGAAAAUGAAAUCUCAUCUCACUCUCUGGAAAUCCUGGAAACUUCUGGAAACCUGCCCAGGAGGAGAAUGCCAAGGAGUGGAGCUGUACACAGGAAGGAGAGAGCAGUACGGGUCACGGCAGUAUGGCGGAGCCACAGUUGCAGCAGAUGCAAGGGCCAGUCGCAGGCAGCAAGAGACCAGAAGCGGAGAGAGGUGGAGGGCCAUAAAGAAGCUGACCUUUCCCCAGAAAAGUCUCACUUCCCUGGGGUCAUCACCAUCACUCCAAGAGCCAGCAACUUCUCCCAGUCGCAGUGGAUUCAAAGGGAACAUGGAGAAAAGCCCAUGGACUGGCCUCUGGAGCUGAACAAAGGAGUUAGGAACUCGUUGCUCUCAGACUCAUUGCCGAGUCCAGACAAAGCUGUACGGACAAUCGCCGCCCUGUGUUGUACCCUCACACACACAUACCUGCAGCCUGCAGGUGGUGUUGAAUUCGAGAAGCCAGACUUGAAAAUAAACCAUUGUCCACUCCUCGUAAGCCCUUCAAUUAUUCACUCAUCAAAUCUGUGAUCAAUGCCUUCUCUGUGCUCAUUGAGAGAAACACACACAGUCACAACACAGCCCCUGAUCUGAGGACCCAAAAUCUUAAGAGGAAGAGCAAAACAAACAGAUUACAAAGUGAUGCCAGUGAUUUAAAAAAUAAAAUAAAAUAAGUAACCA
rnacentral:lncRNA from 12 species